GCCGACGCAGGGGAGUCCGGAGUCCCCGUCACCCCGUCAAGGUGAAGAUCGCGGGUUCGAAUCCCGUCGUCGGUG
rnacentral:tRNA from 1 species